UACAGAGGUGGCAAGCGUUGUUCGGAAUUACUGGGCGUAAAGGGCGCGUAGGCGGUCAGGUCAGUCCCGUGUGAAAUCCCUCGGCUCAACUGAGGAACUGCACGGGAAACUACCUGGCUUGAGUUCGGGAGAGGGAAGCGGAAUUCCGGGUGUAGCGGUGAAAUGCGUAGAUAUCUGGAGGAACACCGGUGGCGAAGGCGGCAUCCUGGACCGGCAUUGACGCUGAGGCGCGAAAGCCAGGGGAGCAAACGGG
rnacentral:rRNA from 1 species